UGGGGAAUAUUGGGCAAUGGGCGAAAGCCUGACCCAGCGACGCCGCGUGGGUGAUGAAGGCCUUCGGGUUGUAAAACCCUUUCGUGCGGAAAGAAUAGUCCUGUAGCGAAUAACUACGGGAUUUGACGGUACCGCAGGAAGAAGCACCGGCUAACUCCGUGCCAGCAGCCGCGGUAAUACGGAGGGUGCAAGCGUUGUUCGGAAUUAUUGGGCGUAAAGGGCGCGUAGGUGGUUGUGAUAGUCAGAUGUGAAAUCCUUCGGCUCAACGGAGGAACGGGAGCUGAAAGUGCAUAGCGCGAGUACAGGAGAGGGGAGCGGAAUGCGCGGGGGAGGGGGGAAAUGCGUAGAGAGAGGGAGGAAGAGCGGGGGGGAAGGCGGUGUGCAGGCGGGAUACGUACGCGGAGGCGCGAGAGGGUGGGGAGCAAA
rnacentral:rRNA from 1 species